rnacentral:rRNA from 1 species
GAUGAACGCUGGCGGCGUGCCUAAUACAUGCAAGUCGAGCGAACAGACGAGGAGCUUGCUCCUCUGACGUUAGCGGCGGACGGGUGAGUAACACGUGGAUAACCUACCUAUAAGACUGGGAUAACUUCGGGAAACCGGAGCUAAUACCGGAUAAUAUAUUGAACCGCAUGGUUCAAUAGUGAAAGACGGUUUUGCUGUCACUUAUAGAUGGAUCCGCGCCGCAUUAGCUAGUUGGUAAGGUAACGGCUUACCAAGGCGACGAUGCGUAGCCGACCUGAGAGGGUGAUAGGCCACACUGGAACUGAGACACGGUCCAGACUCCUACGGGAGGCAGCAGUAGGGAAUCUUCCGCAGUGGGCGAAAGCCUGACGGAGCAACGCCGCGUGAGUGAUGAAGGUCUUCGGAGCGUAAAACUCUGUUAUUAGGGAAGAACAAAUGUGUAAGUAACUAUGCACGUCUUGACGGUACCUAAUCAGAAAGCCACGGCUAACUACGUG